UUAACUGAAACCAAAAAGAGGUAUAUUACUGUUAAUAAUAUAAUUGAAUAAUAAAUUCCAGUUAAG
rnacentral:tRNA from 1 species